rnacentral:rRNA from 1 species
CACGCCCUAAACGAUGGAUACUCGACAUCAGCGAUACACUGUUGGUGUCUGAGCGAAAGCAUUAAGUAUCCCACCUGGGAAGUACGAUCGCAAGAUUGAAACUCAAAGGAAUUGACGGGG